UUGUACAGUAGUAGAAGCAUACAGGCAGUUUUUUGAACUAUUCCCAGGAGAAAUAUAUUUGCUCAGUGAAUUUAUUCGAAAUUUAAAAUAGUAUUUCGCAUUAAAAAAUAAAAAACAAAACUAUACCGUUAACAACGCGCAAUUUUCAAAAAAUAAUUAUUUGGAAAAGCUAUCAUGUCUUCUUUACCAAACGGUUCUGCAAAUGUUCGGGACAACCGAGCCUCCAGGCUGCGUGCUGAGAAGUUGGCUGAGAAGCCACAGAAACAGACCAUCGCAUGGACCAAUGCCCCAACCCGUCCUGGAGGAUUUGGAAAACCUGAACCUUGCUAUCCGCAGGGCCUGCCUGCAUUGCAUCCACGAUCGCACAGUCGUAUUCCGACCCGUAGAGUCCCGGGCGUUAAGACCUCAAGAGCCACUUCGCCAGCCCGCUCCAUACGGGGCACUUCCACCGAUCGGGUCAGUAUCUGUUCUCUGCCCAGCCAUUUGGAGGAGAAAGCCAGACCGAAGCGGAAGGCGCUUGUGGGAGAGGAUGGCGACAAACCAAACAAUAAGGAUAAAGAAGCCAGCUCUGUGGACGUCAACAUAAAUGACAAGAAGGACUGCAAGACUGUAAAUAAGCGAAUGCGGUUAGAUCUGUCGGAAACACCACGUCCUGCUGCAAAGAAUGUCAUUCCGCCAAGGAGCAUAAGCGCCAAUCCCCUAAAAAUCCGAAAAAAGAAGACUGACGUCAAGCCCGAUCGCGGCCAUCAUCGCAUUUUGGAGAUGAACAAAAUCCGAGUUGUCGAUGUCCAACAGAAGAAGUUGGAGAAUAUGCAGUCGGAGUUUAUGGCCAAAAUCCGAUCGUUGGGUAGUCUGGCCAAGGAGCUCAAGGGAGUGUACAAGUUUGUGGCCAUGGUGGUCAACGACGAGUGCAAGUUGAUAAUGCACGAGGACGAUAUGCUGCGCCUACCCAGGAAUAUACCCACUGAAAGUGUAAAUGACUUGAAGAAUCGCUGUCGUUACAUUGUCGAUACGGGUUUCAUGAUGUUCUAUGAUUUCAUGCCCCUUAUUCAACAUGCCAAGUCCGACCAGGAGGCACAGGAGAAGCGCGAACAGCUACGCGCCCAGCUUAAGAACGCCGUGAACCGUAAAAUAAACGGCAUAAUCGAAGAGAUCGAUGAGUUGUGCCGUACAAAAGGCGUAAGAGACGAGUCCUCCAACAGUCUGUUAUACCGCGAAAUCAACGACUUGCGGGUUCAAAAGACGAACAUGGAGACUCGAUACUUUGAUCUGAAGAAGGAGCAUAUCGAACUGAUGAACCAGCAGAAGGACGAGCUCGAGGCCAAGAUGGCGGCGGAGCUUGCUGUUCGGGAUCAUUGUGUCCUGGAAUUGAAAAAGUCAUUGCGACGCAGCGAGGAACUGGUUGGAGAGUUGAAUAUUGAAUUGGCCGAGAAGAAUGACGAUCUGAAGAGUGAGAGCAACACUAUUUCAAAAUUGCGGUCAGAACUCGAUGACCUUAAUACUGUCAACAACCGGAUUCGUAAGCGUCUGGAGGAUGCUGAUUUGGGAUUAGAACGUGCCCACAAGUCAGUUACGAAAAACGAGGAGAAGAUCUCUUACCUGGAAGAUGAGCUUAAAGAGGCUCGGGAGUUCAUUGUCAAUCUCCAAAAGCGUCCAGAUCCUCUGGACGACAAGAGUAUGGGAGAGAAGGAUUUGAUCAUCGCUGACCUUAAGUUGAAGCUCCAGAAUUUCGAACACCACCGGAACAUGAUGCAAAAGCAAGUGAGCUCUGCUGUGAAGCAGCUCGCCGAGUUUGAGGAAUUGAACUGCAAGUACCAGACUGUCGCUGUUCAAGUCAAUGAGCUCCGGGAGCAGCUGAGAAAUUCUGAUGCGAAACUGAUGACCCAGGCCCGAAUCGAGGAGCAGUUGCGGAAGGACUUGGAGAAGUUGCGCGAGCAGGCCGGUCGGGAUCAGAAAAUGCUGUCCAUGCGGAGCGAACUCAUCAAUAAUCUUCAGGAGAACGAGAAGGAAAGCCAAAACAAAAUAAACAAAAUGUACUACCAAGCUAACGAAAAAGAUACGCUGCUUAAACAGGUCCAGGUGAGUAACGAGCUGGCCUCGAAAGACGAAGAGUUCCGUAAUCUGUUCGGAACCCUCACAUUCAAGCAGAAGGAGGUUAGACGACAAGAGCACAUUAUCAAGCUGCUGGAGGAGCAAAAUUCAAGGAAUACGAUGUUGCGGGCCAAACAGGAUGAACGAAAUGCUGCCAUGCAGGCGGAGAUAGUUAAUUUGAAGCGGACCAUAUACACCAUUAUGCUAGGACCCGAUCCGGAAAACGUGGCUAGCAAUGAGCUUCUUCAUUUUUAAAGACGAUUUAGACACUUCAGACAUCUGGAGUUCAUUUUCAAAAUUAUUGAUCAUAAGUACUCAAAGAUUAUCAUUGGUAAUAAU
rnacentral:misc_RNA from 1 species